CUACUAAGGAGAUCUCAGCUAUGUGGGAGGAUCUCUUUCACCACCCCACGACCCCUCUGUGUCCUCAAGUUGGAAGGCAGCCUGGGCUCCACAUGUUAGAGGAUGGUCCAAACCCCCAGAACCACGUGAGUGGCUCUGUUUGAUGACAUCCAGAUGCUGUUCAUCACAGGUCCUGCUGGCCCCACAGCUGCAGGAGAUACUAAGAGGAAAACCUGCUAUGAAGAGCUGAACUGGGGCCGAGAGAGAUGAGGGCUACCAGGCUUGAAUGUCCUCUCUGACUCUG